AGUUUAGUCAAGAAUUAAAGAGAAUGAACCGUAGAGAGAAUUGGCAUAGAGAAAUAAAAAAAAAUUCUCUUCUAUUUUUAUUUCUCUAUGCAUUAAGGCUAAGGCAUUAAGGAUAACGGCGAUAACAGUGCAUGUGCAUUGUGCAUGGUUACUGUUCGAGACUUCGAGUUUGUCUUGUCUUGAAUUCGACCGAUUGUGCUGUUUGUUUUUGUUUAUAAUUUAUGAAAACAAUGAAUUUUGAAUCAAAUAUGGAAAUAAAUCAAGAAGCUAGUGAGAAGAAAACUUUUAAAAUAAAAGUAGAAAACGAAGACACCUCUGUUGGUCCCUUGGAUGCUUUCAAAAUUGAAAUUACAGAAGAACCCAAGAGAGAACCCGCAUAUGACGCAUUUGGUUAUUUAGACUCAAAUGAAUUUCCGGUAAAAACUGAAGUAGAACAAGAUAAAUUUACACCCUUUGAAGAAAAGCAAACAACAGAUGAAGAAAGUUGUUGCCAGGAGGAAAACCAAAUGAAAAUUAUGGAGACGUUAUAUUCAUAUAAAAGAACAUAUACAGAUCAUCACAUUGAAGGAAAAAUGUUAAAUAAAAAUGGGAACGUUGAGACUGCUGGACAUAGAUCUUACAAAUGUGAAAUUUGUUUCAAGCAAUUUACUGCAAAAAGUAGUUUAGAAGCUCAUUUGAGAGUGCACACUGAAGAAAAACUGCACAAGUGUGAAACUUGUUUAAAACAGUUUAGUAAAGCAAGUAACUUCAGACUCCAUUUGAGAGUGCACACUGGAGAAAAACCGUUCAUGUGUGAAAUUUGUUUAAAACAGUUUAGUCAAGCAGGUUCUUUGAAAAAACACUUGAGAGUGCACACUGGAGAAAAACCGUACAAGUGUGAAAUUUGUUUGAAACAGUUUAGUGAAUCAUGUAGUUUGACAACACAUUUGAGAGUGCACACUGGAGAAACACCUUACAAGUGUGAAACUUGUUUUCAACAGUUUGGUCGAGCAGGUUCUUUGAAAAUACAUUUGAGAGUGCACACUGGAGAAAAACCGUUCAAAUGUGAAAUUUGUUUUAAACAGUUUUCUACACCAGAUAGUUUGAAAAAACAUUUGAGAGUGCACACUGGAGAAAAACCGUUCAAGUGUGAAAUUUGUUUUAAACAGUUUAGUGAAUCAGGUAGUCUGAAAACACAUUUGAGAGUGCACACUGGAGAAAAACCGUUCAAAUGUGAAAUUUGUUUUAAACAGUUUUCUACACCAGAUAGUUUGAAAAAACAUUUGAGAGUGCACACUGGUGAAAAACCGUUCAAGUGUGAAAUUUGUUUAAAGCAAUUUGUUACAACAAGUGAAAUGAAGAACCAUUUGGGAGUGCACACUGGAGAAAAACGAGAAAAACCGUACAAGUGUGAAAUUUGUUUUAAACAGUUUAGUAAAUCAAAUCAUUUGAAAAAACACUUGAGAGUGCACACUGGAGAAAAACCGUACAAAUGUGAAAUUUGUUUUAAACAGUUUAGUGAUUCAGGUGGUUUGAAAAAACAUUUGAGAGUGCACACUGGAGAAAAACCGUUCAAGUGUGAAACUUGUUUUCAACAGUUUGGUCGAGCAGGUUCUUUGAAAACACAUUUGAGAGUGCACACUGGAGAAAAACCGUUCAAGUGUGAAAUUUGUUUUAAACAGUUUAGUGCAUCAGGUAGUUUGAAAACACAUUUGAGAGUGCACACUGGUGAAAAACCGUUCAAGUGUGAAAUUUGUUUUAAACAGUUUAGUGCAUCAGGUAGUUUGAAAACACAUUUGAGAGUGCACACUGGUGAAAAACGGUUCAAGUGUGAAAUUUGUUUAAAGCAAUUUGUUACAACAAGUGAAAUGAAGAACCAUUUGGGAGUGCACACUGGAGAAAAACCGUACAAGUGUGAAAUUUGUUUUAAACAGUUUAGUAAAUCAGAUAAUUUGAAAACACAUUUGAGAGUGCACACUGGAGAUAAACCUUACCAGUGCGCUAUUUGUUUAAAGCAAUUUAGUGAAAAAAGUCAUUUGAAAGUACACUUAAGAGUGCACACUGGAGAAAAACCGCUCAAAUGUGAAAUUUGUUUUAAACAGUUUUCUACAGCAAGUAGUUUGAAACAUCAUUUGAAAUUUCACAAUGACACUGAAGUAAAACUUUAGGAGUGUGAAAUUUAUUUAAAACAAUUGAAUCGGUCAUUCCAAAAAGUGCAUAAGUCCACAAUUUUGAGACAUAACUUUUUGAGCGGAAUCGAUUCCUUUUAAGAUAAAUUCACGUUGUGUGCAAAAUGACACCAGUGUUUAUAGAAUAAUACGUCGAAAUAUUCUACCAAAAUUUAUUUUAUUUAUUUAUUUAUUAGACGGGAAACCCCCAUUACAAAGAAUAAUAUGUAGUACAUUUUUGAUUAAAGGCUAUAUAGCUUAGUCUAAAUAGCAUCCUAUUAAGAAAAGCUUAAAAGAUUCAUAUAGGUACAUAUAUACACAUACAAAAUCAACAAAAGGUUAUUUAAAUAAUAAAUCCAUUAGGUACGUAAGAUAUCACUAGUAAACUGGUACAUAUGUAAUAGCUAUAUAACAUUAAAAUGUUUCCAAAAGA
rnacentral:misc_RNA from 1 species